CAUGAGGCUCGAACUCACAAACCGCGAGAUCAUGACCUGAGCCGAAACCAAGAGUCAGACACUUAAUCGACUGAGCCGCCCAGGUGCCCCUGAAGCAAGGUAUUUUGACAGAGAACAAGAGGGUGUGGUCAGAGAGGGCCUCACAGGGCAGAUGGUCCUUUCUGAGAACCUGUACUUGACCUCCUUCCUUCCCAAAUUGCAGAAGCAAUCUUUCUUCAAGUUCUUUCUCUGUUGCGCCAUUUAGCAUCCUUCCUCUUGGAUUCUAUUCUAUUUUCUUCUGACCUUGUCUUAUCUCCAUGAGUAAGGCAGGAAGUUCUCAAAAUCUAGGACUGUUUUGUAUUCAUUUCUGUGUUCUAAAGCCGGGUAGGUGGGUUGCUUGUUUUAUUAAUAAAAUUCUACUGGAACGCCUGCCACAUUCACUUACCUAUUAUCUGAACCUGCUUUUAGUUACAACAGCAUUUACAGGAAAAGUUUGCCGGCCUGUAUUCUAAAGUCGCCUCGGGGCCUGAUGCAGGGUAGGGGCUUUGUCAGGAGGGCUUUGGAGGAUGGCCAGAGGGAAUGAAGGUACAAGCUACCUGUGUGACCUUGAGCAAAUUACUUAACCUCUCUGGUCCUCUGACUCCGGAUCUUGCAACACCAGCUGCCUUUUCUCAUCCUUCAGAUCUCGGCUCCUAUGUCACCUGUUCAGAAAGGCCCUCCCUGACCUUGAAUGACCAGCUUGGAUCUGAUGGCACUUACCCUCUUCCCGCGAUAAGAUGUCUCUCUGCUUUAUUUUGAAGUUAGGGCCACCUGGGCGCAGACACCCUUCUCCUCACUGGUGUUUUCCCUCAUCUCCUGUGCCACCUCCCUGGUAGCAUAAGUGGAAAGAACUCUGGACGCUUGGGUUCAUGAUCCCAACACCGCCCCAUAUGAGCUACGAAAACCUGGGCAGACAGACCCUUCAUCUCUGGCCUCAGCUUUCUCAGCUGGGAAAUGGGUAUGGCAUCGUCAAGCAGGAAAGAUCUGCGCGCCGAGCGGCCAGCACUGAGCCGGGCCAAGCGCACGUGCUGUGUUCAUGAUGUUGUUUUUCAUCUUCGCCUCCUUUUCUCAAGAGGGAGGGAAGAAAGAUAGUCGACCCCAAACCUUGCCCUAACGAGGCCUCUGAUGACACCUUGCCUGCCCGAAUUCCUCGCACGACGCCUGUGCUAGGGAGUGGCUGGAGGGUAGGCAGCUUUAUCUUACAUAAAGCUCUGUGUAAAUGCAACCCAAGGCAGGUCCCCUAGUCCCCCUCCCUCUCGGUCCAGGUUGCUGCCCCCACGCCCCCCACCCCUACAUGAAAGUCUGAGACCCUUGCCGGCCUCGUGAUUAAGAGAACAGACCAAUCCAAAGAGGUGGUUUUCCAGACAGAUUAGAGAAGUGCGUGCGCGUGCACGUGUGCGUGCACGCGCGCGCGUACCGGAUGCCCCUAAUGACUGAGUGAUACGCUAACCCGGCUGGUUGCAGAAUCUGAGGGUGGCGGGAGGGGUGCGCUGCAAGAUAAAAUGCAGUCCCCCUUGUGCAAAAACCUCUAAGCAUUUCAAGACAGCGACAGCAGAGCACGCAGCCAAACUCGGGGCCCUUCUGGUCGCAGGGCCCCGUGGGACCAUGCAGGCUGCACCCCCCGUGAAGCCGGCCCUGCCUGCUAGGAAGAAAGACUCAGAAGUCCUGGGGGUGAGGAGUGUGGAAAGUCCUUCAGUCCCGGUGACUCUAUCAAGGAAAAAGUACCUCCCCAAGCUCCCUGCCUUGGGACACGGAGGCCAGAGCUGGGACCUUGGACUCAGAUGGCCACAGGGGCCAGGUGGGUAGUGAUAACAAGUGAAGCAGGUGGAUGGAAGAACUGUAAUAGGGCAAGUUCAAUGAGCAAGACAGUUAACACUCAGCCUCAGUGUCAAGGAGGCAGCGGGGAGUGGUGGGGACUGGGGCAUACGUGCCCAUCAAGAGAGGCAGCUGCUGUUCAGCUCCGGGCUGGGUUCUGGGCCCACCCAGCGAUUUUAUUUUUCAUAUGAGACAUCCCAAGUUACUAAUGUUGGCAAGUAGUUUUUUAAAAAUUAAAACAUUUGAGUGGGCCAGACAGAGUGGUCUUGUGGACCACUUUCAGCCAUUAGGGGUCCACAUUUGAUCCUUGAAGCAGAGAGCCUUCUGAUGGCUAGAAGGAGAAGGAGGAAUCAUUUCUCGCCUCUGAGGCCCUCCCGCCUAGAAGGGAGAGGUGAGGGUGGGGCUUGGGGGACAGUAGCAACGGGUCCCCCUCCCCUUUUCUUACUCUCUGCUGUCAAGCACAAGACAGGGUGGCAAGUGUUUGUUGAAUGAAUGAGUGUCCCACCCAGCUGGGACUUGGCUUCAAAACCCAAGUCACCCCCGGUGGAUGUUAACACAAGUCAGGGAAAUUCACAGGUGACUCCUUAACUAAUUAGCUAAUAGGAUCCAACAUCCCCCUACCCAGCCUCCAACCAGAGCAGGAAGAAAAGGCUACUGUAGUUGCUGUAAAACGCACUGGAUAUUAAGUCAGCAAACUGGAUUGGAUCUGAGCCUCAGUUUCCUCAUCGGUAAAAUGGGGUUGUCUAGAGAACUGAAUGAGAAAAAGCAUGGAAAGUGCUCAGCAAGGUGCCUGAUGUGCAACCAAUAUGAGCUGGUGCUUUUCACUGUUAUUUUCAUCUUUCUUCCUUAUGCAAGCAUUUGGCUUAUUUCUAGGGACUGUGGGCCCAUGGAAGAGUUUAUUGUGUAGAAUUAAACUUUGUAUCCUUGCAAAGUAAUGUCAGCUUUACAAAUUCAGGCUGGGAAGCUUGAACAUUCGGGAAUUCUUGGUAGAGAUGGGGGUGCCCAGUGUUGGAAUUCUGAUGUUCAAGAUCACAGCAGUGAUGUUCGUUGUUGGAACACCGGUAUUCAGGGUCGCAGUUCUGGGAUUCAAGGUGGGGAGGCUGCCAUCCAUUGUCAGAAUCCUCAAUCCGUAAUUGGACCCAAGGGGUACACGGCCAGGGUAUCGCCACUCGUGAUCGAAACUGUAGCGGGCAAGGUCGGAACGCUGAUGUUCCAAGUUGGAACUGAUGUUCAGAGCCUGAAUUUUGAAGGUCAGUGGCAUUCUUGAUUGGCGUUCUGGCAGGCGCACUGAGAACACUGAUGUUUGCAGUCAGAACUCUUGUUCCUGGCUCGUUAUUUUGUGGGUUUCAUCCCUUACGUGUGUCACUAAUGCUUCAUCAUCCACCCUCCAGGGAGCAGUUCCUGAGGAAAUGCAAACCACAGAAAGUCCCCAAACCUCCAUCUCGCCAGUGAGAUUUUGUUACUUAUGCCUCUUUCUCUUGCUGUUUCUGAUGCCCAUCCCCUCAGGCGGCGCUGUGAGAAGUGACACGAUCCUCAGGAAAGCGGCUGCACAGUGACUCCCCAGCCAGAGACCCUUGACCUGUUGUCAACUCCAUUUAAUCUUCUUUUUCUUGCCAGUUGACCUGGAGCGGGCCCAGGGAAGCAGCCCUACCAACCCCAAGGGAGUGGGGGGGGGGGCAGCGGGCAACCCGGAUGAUGUCACUGUCCCAUUAUCCAGAGAAAGGCAAACGGUGUCAGGCAAGGGUCCGAAAGGAUGCCAGGGGCGUGUGGCUUCCUGGCUCUUGAGAGGCGUGGCUGGCGGCAGCCUGUGGAGAAGUGGAAUAGUGUGCUGGUCACUGUGGUCCCCACAAAUGCACUGUGAGUGCCAGCUGGGCGGGGAGCUUCAUUGACGGUGGCGCUUGGCAGGGACAGGUCACUCGCUAGGUCUCAUCCCGUAGUAAAUGCUAGACAACCCCUCCCCGACCUUCACGUGCCCUGCUCUCUGACCUUCACCUCCUCCCUCCCCGACCUUCACACUCCAUUCCUUUAUCAUCCCUUGGUUUUUUUCAAGCCCCUCUCACCACCUGGUAUAUUCUAGGUUUAUCUGACUCAUCUCGCUACAUUAUAAGCUCCAUCAGAGAGAGAGUUGGUCAGGUUUUGCUUGUGUCUUCUUGUCUUCUCGGUGUUAAAACUGUGCCUAGCAUAUAGUAGCUACUAAAUAAAUAUUUGUUGACUGACCGAAUGAACGUUGCCACUUCAGAUACUUAAGAGAGUUUUUCAAGCCUCAUAUUAUUUCAUGCAGAGUCUGCCUCCUGUCUCAUCCACUCUAUCUGUACAGAGGUUUUGGAUGGGGAUGAGGGGAAGUGGCAAGAGGGAGGGGCAUUCACCCCUCCAUGAUUUCUCAUUGCUCUCAGGAUAAUUUCCAAAGCCCUUAUUUGACCACUAAGGGCUUAUAAGAACUACCCCUGCCUUCAUAUUAGACACUUUAAAUGACUCCCUCUUUUCUCAGAUCCUCAGGACUCCAUUCUGGGUCUUACCUCAGGACCUUUGCACAUGCUGUGCUAACUAGAACAAUCUUGCAGCCCCCCCACCCUGACCCCCUUGGUCUCCUUAACUCAUCUUUUAUGACUCCACUUAAAUAUCUUCCUCCUGACUUCCCAAACUGAAUGUCAUUUCCCUCAUGAUGGGCCCUCGCAUUUUUUUUCUAAGAAUUUGCCAUUAGCCCCCUCAGUCAGUGCUUUUGGAUUCCAAAGUUCAACAGUGGGGGAUAACCUUCCCUGAACUAGAGGUUUCUUAUGAGGGAGGUGGCAAGAGCCCCUUCCUUUUUACUCAGAAAACUGUAGAACCUGGCCCUUCCCCCAGAUAUGAGAUGCUCUCGCUCAAGGGAGGAGUUCUGGUCUCCCCGGGAGAUUUCUUAGCUGCCUUCCAAAGCUUGUCCCAUACAGCUCAUCACCACGGGCCCUCUGUCCCCUCAGCUACUUCUCCCCUUCCAGCUGUCCUGAGGACUCUGAGGAGUUUAGAGACAGACUGGGUUCUGACAAGACCCGCAUAACACCCACGUGUCACUCCUACGUCCCUCUUUACAGACAGACUGGUGAACUCGUCAAUUCAUCCAGCCCUCACUGCACCCUAUGAGGAAAGUACUGUUAUUAUCCCCCAUUUUACAGAUGAGGAAGCUGAGCCCAGGGAGGUCGAGUGACACAUGCGAGAAUGCAGCUAAAGGUGCAGAUUUGAGCCCGGGCACUGAGCCACUGCACGCCCUCCGCUCCUCCUGAAGCUUCCCUUCUUUGUUUUACUCCUAGACUGCUUGUCUUUCUUUCUUCUCUUCUCCCUUGUCUCUGCAAGCAGCCCAAACUCCCUCUCGUUGUGCAUAUGCUUUGCUGUACUGCUCAAGCCCAGAAAUCAUAAGGACAGCGUUGUGUAGUGAAAGAAUGUAGAU